ACACACACACACACACACACACACACACACACACACACACACACACACACACACAGAACCCAUUUAAUUAACAUUUCAAUAAGCUCUAAAGGUUUCAAACAAUCUAGAUUCGACUCUACGUCUAAUAUUGAAAGUAACAAACGUUCUCUCAUCUAAAGUUCCCUGAUGGUCCCUGAACGCCUCACAGGAAGUGAAUCACAUCUAUGACUCUUGAGGAGGACUGUCAACCCGACCGACUGCUGCUGAAAGUGGCCAACAACACCAACAACACCACAGACUGGGCUGAACUGGGCAGCUCCUAAGUGUGAACGUGUCGAUGAAUGAAUAAACUGUUCAGAUCUGACUCUGUGAGAACAGACAGUGAAGAAACAGGACGACUGCUGACGUGGGUGUUUUUAACUCUUUGAACCCUCAGCUGUUCAGUUUUUUUUUUCCUCCUUUCAUUUACAGGCUCAUGACACAGUCGGUACAUGUUGUAGUGAAGCCUGCCGUAUAUUUAUAUUGUCAGUAAUGACCUGUCGGAGGAG